rnacentral:tRNA from 1 species
ACGGAAUUAGCUCAAUUGGUAGAGCGUUGGUCUCCAAAACCAAAGGUCGGGGGUUCGAGCCCCUCAUUCCGUGCCA